UACGAAGGGGGCUAGCGUUGUUCGGAAUCACUGGGCGUAAAGCGCGCGUAGGCGGAUUGUUAAGUCGGGGGUGAAAUCCCGAGGCUCAACCUCGGAACUGCCUUCGAUACUGGUAAUCUUGAGUCCGGGAGAGGUGAGUGGAACUCCUAGUGUAGAGGUGAAAUUCGUAGAUAUUAGGAAGAACACCAGUGGCGAAGGCGGCUCACUGGCCCGGAACUGACGCUGAUGUGCGAAAGCGUGGGGAGCAAACAGG
rnacentral:rRNA from 1 species